UACGUAGGAUGCAAGCGUUGUUCGGAAUUACUGGGCGUAAAGAGUACGUAGGCGGUUUGGUAAGUCUGAUAUUAAGGACUGGAGCUCAACUUCAGGAGUGUAUCGGAAACUGUCAGACUAGAGGACAAUAGAGGAAGUCGGAAUUCUCAGUGUAGCGGUGAAAUGCGUAGAUAUUGGGAGGAACACCAGUGGCGAAGGCGAGUCCCUGGACAAUUCCUGACGCUGAGGCACGAAAGCCAGGGGAGCAAACAGG
rnacentral:rRNA from 1 species